rnacentral:tRNA from 1 species
CUCUUAGAAGCUUGCAUCAGCCAUGAAUUUUUACUUCAUUAAUAGGACCUCAUCCCUAAGAGA